GGCGGCCUGACACAUCCUGACUCACCCUCCCUGCCUGCCUUUUCCAUUCAGACGGAGCCGGCUGCCUCGCAGGGCUCACGCCGCCGCCGCCGCCGCCGCCGCGCUCGGAGGAGGGCACGGAAGGAAAAGUUGGAAAAGUUGAAAAGGGAAAGGGGGGGGUGGUCGGAGAGGGGCUGGUGAGGUCAUUGGCGUCCCCUCCCUCCACCUCCUCGGCCGGCCGCCACCGGGGCAGACACAUGCAGCUCGAGAGCUGGGGCCUGGCUGCAGGCGGGGGUCCGGCUGGACCAGGACAGGCAGAGAGAUGGGGAGAGGUGGCCACGGGGCCACAAGACGCAGGCCUGGGGAGAUGGAGAGACUCUCAGGGACAAAGAAAGAGACCUGGAGAGACCGAGACCCAGGCGAAUAGACGGAGACACACAGAGAGAUGCGGGCACCGGAGAGAGAGGGAGAGUCUGAACACAGAGACAGAUAGACACACGCAGAGCUAGAGACAGCCACGGAGACACACUGCAGGAGCAGAGGGAAACAGCCGGCAGGGAGAGAGGGGAGAGGUCCCGGGAGUCAGAGAUGGAGAGCAAGAUGGAUAUGGCAGGAGAGAUUUGGAGAGACCCCCAAAAGGAAAAGAGAGGCAGGCAUGGCAGCAAGAGGGGAGGCAGGUGGCAGAAAACAGAGACAGGGUGACAGAGAUGGAGAGGCCCCAAGGAGUGGAGAGCCUCAGAGCGAUGGAGAUGCUGAGAUGACGAUGACCAGGAGUCAGUAGUGGGGACAGCGAUGGGAGCCCCUCUCCAAGAGACAGGCUGGGACUUGGUAAGAGAGAAGCCAAGGCAGAGACAGAGAGGUACCGAGACACUUGGCAGAGGUGGGACCUCGGGCACACAGCGUCCCCUCCCUGUGCCUCAGUUUCUCGGUCUGCGAAAUAGGGAUACCCGGGCACACCCCCCCCCAUAUGCUUGGGGGAGGAUAAAGUGAGUUCCCUCCUGUAAAGCAUACAGUAAAUGUGAACCAUUGCUCUUCUCGUCGGUGAUUUUUGCUAACACAUCUAAGAAGGCAGAGAAAAAGAUGCAGACCCUGGGAGAGAUGGAGAUGGUGAGACACGGAGAGAGCAGCCCGGCAGGGAGCUGAAGCCAGCGCAGGGCACUGAAGCCAGGGCAGGGCAGGAGAGCUCCACACAGAGGUGUGGCGAUGCGAUACAGAGAGGGGUUGGAGCAGAAGGGGGCCGGUGAUGCCAACACAGGCACGCUCAGAGCACCAGGUGUACGGAGCAGAGGUGGCCCCAGGACCCACGGCAGAGAGAAGGACCACUGAUAGAGGAACCCAAGUCCCCGGGAGCACCCCACCCCCAGGAUAAAGGUGGCAGAGAAGGAUGCAGGGGAGUGAGAAGACAAAAGGUGACCAGGACUUCCAAAGGUCUCCUGGCAGCCCCCGCUCCCCCCCCACUCUGGGCCCCUGGGGCUGUGCUGAGCUGGCAGGGGGCUCUGGGCAUGAACGGAGGCUGGAGUCAUCCCCCUCCCAUCCCCCACCACUGGGGGGGGCACAGCUCAGGUCCCCGGGGGAGGUGAGGUCACAGCCCCCCCAUGGUGGGACAUGACCUCAUCGCCUCAGGUAAGAGCUCUCUCUGCCUCUCUCAGUCUGUCAUGGUCACCCCUUCCAGGGCCCCCCAGGGGCCCUCCCCAGCCCCGCUCCUGCUGGGACCCAGGCCUCUGACCACUGGGUCCCCGCCCCUCAGGGGGCCUGUUUCCGGCUGAGUCAGCGUGGGGGGCCUGAGGCUGCGUCAGUGAGGGGAGAACUGACGUAGCCCCCCCCCCCCAGACCGGCAGGGCCAGCCAAGGUGACUCAGGCCACCAGCCUGGGGGAUGGACUGGCCUGAGGGGAUGGGGGACUGGGCCUGGGGCCAGCCUGAGAGCAACAGUAGGGAUCUGAUGAUGGCAGCCCCUUCCACCGCCAGGGAACCCGAAGUGGCAGCCCCAAUCCCAAGGCUUCAGCCUAGGAGUCCAAGACCCCAGAGCCUCCUCCAUCAGACCCAGGAGUCCAGCUCCUCACCCUCCUCCUCCAUCAAAUCAGGAAGCCCAGCGCUCAGCCCCCUACUUCCUUAGACCCAGGAAUCCAGGCCCCCAGCGCCUCCCCUGUCCCCUCUCAGACCCAGGUGUCAGGUGUCCACAGCCUAAACCCUUAUUUCCACAAAGAGAGAGAAGCUGUGGCCAUUCUGCAGUUUGGAGAACACCUGAAGGGGAAGGUCAGGCGUUGGGGCCCCUCCCCUGGGCAUGUGGGGGUCGCCUUCCCCCAGGGUGGCUGCAGCAGGCGGAGGGAGAUGUAGUGGGUGCAAGACAGGAGCGAGGGGCACCACUCAGGACCCUUAGGUCUUGCUCCAGGGGUGGGGACACUUGGGACACUUCCAUGGAAAGGAGGGCCAGAAGGAGGGCCGGAGGCAAGGUAAAGAGAUGCAGAGGCAGGAUAGGGAAUCAGAGGAGUGUCAGGAGAGGACAGUGACAAACAGAAAUCGAGGCAGGAGGUGGGAGCACAGAGACCAGAGUGAGAAAAGGACAGAGGUGCCGGCGGGGUGGUGGGGGACGGGGUGGGGGAUUGAGACCCACAGAGACACAAAGAGUCAAGCUCAGAGCCAAAGACUAGGGGGGACAUGGAGCUGAGGCUCUGAAGGGUGGUCACAGACACGGGGUGGGGGGGCAGGUAGGGGGAGACGCCACUGGGAUAUGACAGGGGGGACUCCAGGGGGCCCUUGCUCAUGUGCUGGCCCCUGGGUGAGGUGGAGCUGGCUAGUGUGAGGUCAGCAGGUCCGAGGCUGUGUGUGUCCGUCUGUCUGUCCCUGGGGGGUCCUGUCUGGCCUCUGGGGGGUGACGGGGCAGGCGGGCCGCAGAGGCAGCCCAAACCUGUCAUUAGCGGUGAGGGCCCUGACGGCGGGGGGGCCCCCCCCCAGUCCCAAGCCGCGGUCCAUGGCCCGGCGGCCCCGCCCCCCACCCCCUCCUUGAUCCCUGAGGAAUCCCGGGAAUUGGGAAGUGGGUCCAGAUGAUGUUGACACAGGAAACGGUCAGCAGCUGCCUGGCCUCAGCCCCACAACCCCUCUGACCCCCACCCCCGGCCCCCCGCCGAGCCCCCUGUGACCUGUGUCAUCUCUGACGAAGGCAGCCCAGGGCCCACUCAGCACCCGCCAGGAUGUUUACAGGAGAUGGGCAGGACAGAGUCAGCCUCACAAGGUUUCUUGAGAAAUGGGGUCUGGACUCCUGGACAGCUGCCCUCAGACUCGUCUCCUGCCCCUUGCUGCCUCAAACCAGGGGUCUGGGCCCCCAGCUCACCUCCUCCCUCAGACCCAGGGGUCCAGGCCCCUAGCCCCUCCUCCCUCAGACCCAGGAGUCUGAGCUCCUAGGCCCUCCACGCUCAGACCUGGGAGUCCCGACCCCUCAAACCCCCGCUUCCCUCUAAUCCGAGUGUCCACACCCCCAACUUCCUUUCCCUUAGACUCAGGAUCGGGACACAAAGGCACGCUGACCUAGGAGAGCCGAGCCCCCGCCUCACUGGCUGAAAGCAGAACGGAAGUCCAGGGAGAAAUGAGGGAUCGAGCUGUCAACUCAGCCUCCAUGUUGGCCUCCUCCCCCACCAUAGGGGGACACCAAACCAGAAGCUUGGGGACCUGCAGUUGGAUCCAUUUUUCUGUUUUCAGAUGGGAAUGGAAUCCAGGGAUUCUUCUAUCCAUGGAGCUGUGAGGGAGACGUGUGGGACAGAGAGAGCUGUGGGGGCCAGGCUGCAAUUGAGAACCCCAAUCUCUGUCUGCGACUACGAUGCUGCUACCGUGAUGGGGUCUGCUACCACCAGCGGCCUGAUGAAAACAUGCGGAGGAAGCACAUGUGGGCACUGGGCUGGACAUGCGGAGGCCUUCUCUUCCUGAUCUCCAGCAUCUGCUUGUUCUGGCGAGUGGGCUCAGGGCUCAGGGGGGGCUCCCCGCCCCGGGGGUCCGGUGCAGGUGGACGGGCAUGGCUGAGGGUGUUCGCUCCCUGCCAGGUGGGCCAAGCGACGAGAUA